rnacentral:lncRNA from 1 species
AUGUCCUGCUUUGCUUGGUUUAAUUAUGCUUAUGAGAAGACAAGUACACAUUGUCCUCGAACAGCAAGUGGAUGGGAAAGAACCUUGACAACACAAAACUCAUUUACUAAUGGACUGGUUUUGAGUUUCUCCUCCCUGGGUCCGCAAAUCUCCUUCCUGAUCCCUUGGCCUAGUCAGUCUUCGCAGUCAACGGCGUCCUGCACUGGGCAGGUGGGCGGCAGUUUUCGUGUGUUGCUCAGAAUCUGAACCUAGCUCCCCAAGGACGCCGGGCACCAGCGGCUUCCGUCCAAGGAGAGGAAGAAGAUGAACAUUGUUGCCUCGGCUCGGCUCGGAUCUGAGUCUCCGCAUUGCUGCAUAGAGAUGGCAUUAGUUUAUUGAGGAUGCCCUUGACUUCCAAAUCCGUAGGUAGGGGUAGGAGUCCUUUUUGAUGAUAAAGGAACUCCAAGAAACCCGGCUGGGAGCCUCAAGUCAUCUUGCUUCAAGUCAGAAGGAAAACAAGUAGGACCCAGAUACAGGAUUUUGAUUCAAGGCCUAUGUCGACCCAGCAGCUCUAUAUGUUGUCGCCUUGGCCUUUCGGAGCACCGCCUGUGUGCCUGGCCAUUACCAGCACUGUGGAGGCACCCUGAGCCUCUCCUCCAGAGGCACCCUACUAAGCCCGGAAGCUGCCAGGGCAGCAGCAAACAGACUAGAGUGGUUGGGUUUCCUUUAAAUUCCCGACGCAUCUCUGCUUUUUCAUGCGAUUUGCAUUGACAGCAAAGGUUUUAUAUUACAGAACAACUCCAACCUUUCUGUGCGCGAUUUAAAAUGGAUCAUUUGGUUUAUGUGGUUUGUAAAUUCAUGUCAUUUUACCUCUUUUAGUGGUUUUCAGUGAAAGGUUCCAUUUGGGGAAACCUUAUAUAUCCAAGCCAAUAAUUAUCAUUUAUAACAAUUGGUUCUCUUAACCGAGGGAUCCAAAUAGCAGGUAGGCUCCUUGGUACAAAGCGCACAGCACUUUUCCUUUUUAGUUAAGUGAUCUAUUGGAUUAAAUGGGAGGGAGUGAAAGGCUGGCGUGUCCAGCGCCCACCCCCACCUCCACCCCGCUCCCUCCUCUGCCUCUGAGAAAAAGUACCUCUCAUAACCUCGGUGCCGGUUAUCACAGAACUUAUGCCACUCCUCUUGCCAGUUGUCACCAGUGUCUGGUACAGUCCUGAUUCCUUUUGAAGAGAGAUUAAAUAAAAAAAAAAAAAAAAAAAAAGGGCCUGGGGGA